ensembl:lncRNA
AUACCUUUGUAGUAUUGCCGUAGGCUGUUUUGUUUUUUCCUUAUGUCAAUUUUCAGGAAACACAAUACGCUCACGUAGGUGCACUAUAAACACUAUACGCUCACGUAGGUGCACUAUAAACACUAUACGCUCACGUAGGUGCACUAUAAACACUAUACGCUCACGUAGGUGCACUAUAAACACUAUACGCUCACGUAGGUGCACUAUAAACACUAUACGCUCACGUAGGUGCACUAUAAACACUAUACGCUCAUGUAGGUGCACUAUAAACACUAUACGCUCACGUAGGUGCACUAUAAACACUAUACGCUCACGUAGGUGCAGUAUAAACACUAUACGCUCACGUAGGUGCACUAUAAACACUGCCAGAGGUCUAUUUUGCAUUGAAUCAGCACACACACACGCUUCAAACAUUCUUACUGAUGGGUAUUAAAAACUUACAGUCGCAUUAGAUAGGCGAGAGACCAGCACACUGUCUGAAUUACAGGAGGUGACUAUGGGGGUCAUUCGUUCCGUGGGGCAGUUUAUAAAAUGCCACUGAUGUUAAAUGUUUCACUUCCUCCCUCCCUUACGCUUAUUAAACCUCAGCCAUCGCUUCAGGACACAAAAAGUCAGACUGCCAGAGAGAUGAUGACUUUCUCUCUUCUUCUUUCCCGCGUCUCUCUCCAAAUCCUCUCCGUGACCCGGCCAGUGACUCUCUAAUCGACUCCUGACUGCUUUCCAGUCCAUUUGCAUUCUCUCUGACUCGACACAGAGGCUGUACUAAAGUCUAUGAAGACCCACACUCAGACGUUGUGCCAAGUCGAAUGAAAAUGUGAACUUUCUGAGCGGUUUUGAGGCGACGUGACGCCCGUCUGCUGUAAAUAAGACUCUGAGCGUAAUUAUGUAGUCGUUAAUGAAAAAUGAUGCGUAGAUAACAGUCGAUUAUGCGAGUACAGAAGAGUGGAGCAGAUUUACUUGUAUCAAAUCCGGCAGCAAAAGGAUGCCAGAGCCAGAGGUGAUAUAAAUCAGGGAAAGGCCAAGAUGAAAUUGUAAAGGGGUGCAAAAUUACUAAUAGGACCAGAGAGGCAAGCUGGGAUUUGACCCAGGAAUUUUGGAGUGACUUGUUCAUGAACUUAUCACUUUGUAGGGUUGGCCACAUGACUCCACCUAACUCCACCUGACUCCACAUGACACCCCAUGACUCCCCAUGACCACUUAACUCCACAUGACUCUACAUGACUCCCCAUGACUCUACAUGACUCCACCUGACUCUACAUGUCUCCCCAUGACUCCCCAUGACUCCACCUGACUCCACAUGACUCCACAUGUCUCCACAUGUCCCUACAUGACUCCACCUGACUCCACAUGACUCCACAUGACUCCACAUGUCUCCACAUGUCCCUACAUGACUCCACCUGACUCCACAUGACUCCCC